UGUCAUGUUUUGACGUUUUUCAAAAGCGUACUUUUGUAAGCAUAUACAAGUGAAAUAAUUAGUGUUGAAAAUCCAAGUGCUGCUUUCACUGUAUGAUGUUUGUAUAAGAUUUUGCAUAAAAUUUGCAAUCUUUAAAAAAAUCGUGUUUUGCUUGUGCCAACAUCGGCGAGUUCAAAAAAUAGACUAUUUGAACAACUUUGAGACUGAACUUGUAACAAAGUUAUAAUUUACAAAUUGUGAAAUUACAAGGCAACAAUUUGGUUUUAUUACCUGUUUAUGAUCUCCUGUAAAUGGAUAAAUGAUAGCUACAACACUGGGCUCUUGGCGGCUGCAUA